UCCCUUGUUCCUUGUGUCUCUUGCCCAUUGGUUGUCUUAGUCAUGUGUUCUCUAAGUUCAUGUAUUUAAGCCUCUUGUUCUCCGUGUUACUUUGUUGUAUAUUGAUUAUGUAACCCUGCUGUUGGUGAGUGUUAUUGUCAAGUGGUUGCUUUGUUUGUUUGCUCACUUUUGGAUUCUAAGUAAACUGCACAUGGGUUCAUCAACUCGCCAUCAGUAGGACUGAUCGUUACAUGGAUAACCUACUGGAUUACUUUGAUUAUGGAUGAAUGCAUUUUUUUUUUUUUUUUUUUUUAAAUGUGACCCCCCAUUCACAACCAUUAUAAACCUUGGAGGACUAAGGAUAUUUUUAAAUAUAUCUCCAAUUGUGUUCAUCUGAAAGAAGAUUGUCAUAUACACCUAGGAUGGCUUGAGGAGUCACUAAUACAAUACACUGACUGAACUUUCUGAAACACCACGAGCUUGAUUCAGCUCGUCCGGAUAAACACACACCGGGAGUGGACGGGGAAGGUGGCAAGUCACGCCAAGUCUAAGAAGUCCUUGGUGUGGUCCUUGAGACUACAUUGCUCUUGAGCAACUACACAACUGUCCUGCGUCCUCCAGCCUGUGAAUCGGAAACUGAUCGAACUCAGCCAACUUAUCCUAAGGGGGUGGAGCUAAGAUGCAAGGAAAGGAAGUGAGGGAAGGAAACAAGAAU